rnacentral:tRNA from 1 species
AUUUAUUUAGUAUAAUUAAUAAAUACCUUUGAUUUCCAAUCAAAAAAUCUAUAAAAUAGAAUGAAUA